AGCGUAGGCGGCACGGUAAGUCAGAUGUGAAAGCCCGGGGCUCAACCCCGGAACUGCAUCCGAUACUGCCGAGCUAGAGUAGUGGAGGGGAGUCUGGAAUUCACGGUGUAGCAGUGAAAUGCGUGGAUAUCGUGAGGAACACUAGUGGCGAAGGCGAGACUCUGGACACUUACUGACGCUGAGGCUCGAAGGCUAGGGUAGCGAAAG
rnacentral:rRNA from 1 species